rnacentral:rRNA from 1 species
GACGAACGCUGGCGGCGUGCUUAACACAUGCAAGUCGAACGGAAAGGCCCUGCUUUUGUGGGGUGCUCGAGUGGCGAACGGGUGAGUAACACGUGAGUAACCUGCCCUUGACUUUGGGAUAACUUCAGGAAACUGGGGCUAAUACCGGAUAGGAGCUCCUGCUGCAUGGUGGGGGUUGGAAAGUUUCGGCGGUUGGGGAUGGACUCGCGGCUUAUCAGCUUGUUGGUGGGGUAGUGGCUUACCAAGGCUUUGACGGGUAGCCGGCCUGAGAGGGUGACCGGCCACAUUGGGACUGAGAUACGGCCCAGACUACUACGGGAGGCAGCAGGGGGGAAUAUUGCACAAGGGGCGGAAGCCGGAUGCAGCAACGCCGCGUGCGGGAGGACGGCCUUCGGGUUGUAAACCGCUUUCGCCUGUGACGAAGCGUGAGUGACGGUAAUGGGUAAAGAAGCACCGGCUAACUACGUG